CAGGAAACAACAUCUACCUUCAAAAUAAGGGCGGAGGAACUUACCAUUGAGGUGUGGUCAUGCCACUGACUGACUGGAGAAGCUGGAAUCAGACUGGAAGAACUGGGAGGCAGAAGCAGAGCAGUGGUCACUCAGUGAAUCCCAGCUCCCCCAUCAAACCUUAGAUGGGAUUUAUGAGAAAACCACGGGAAACCGGCCUGACUCACCGGCCUCUUGUGAUCGAGUCUAUCUCCGCUCAGGGAGAAAGGAGACAAGGGAACGAUCUGAGGGAGGAAACAGAAGGACAGACUGAAAGAGGAGGACAGAGAUGGUGUAAAAUCUCUGAUCAGAUGGUGAUGCUACGAAGUGGAUCAACAUUUCCUUCGGCUGUGGUUGUAAUGCAGCACCAAACCAUGACCGUACUUCCUCCGUGCUUUAACUCUCACUUUUCAACUUGCCUCUGUAGUGAUUCCAGUUCUAAGGAUGGUUCUGGUGUAACCUGUUUGUCUGGUUUCCAUCCAUAAAGAACUCACCAGGGUCUAUCUGAUGCUGCCAUAUGGAGAGUUGACACCUCCUAACCUGCUGUCUGUUCAGAAGAGACUUCUGUGGUUACCCACCUGUGAUGGAUUGAUGGACACGCUGCUGCGUCUGUACCGGGCCGAGGACACGGGACUGAAGACGGUCAUCCCAU